CCGACUGCUAUUUGGGUGAGAAUAAGCCAUGCGAGUUGAAUGGGAUACCUAAAGUUCCCAUAGCAAACUGCUCAGUAACACAUGAUCAACUUACCCUAUAGAGAAAAAUAACCUCGGGAAACUGAGGAUAAUGUUUCAUAAUUGAAUUGGCUUGGAAAAGUUUUUCAAUGAAAAGGAUAAAAAAAAUGGUUUUUAUCCGCUAUAGGAUAGGAUCGUGUUCGAUUAUGGUUGUUGGUGAGAUAAUGGCUCACCAAGCCGAUAAUCGAUAGGGGCCGUGAGAGCGGGAGCCCCGAGAUGGGUACUGAGACAACGACCCAGGCCUUACGAGGCGCAGCAGGCGCGAAACCUCCGCAAUACACGAAAGUGUGACGGGGUUACCCAAAGUGUUCAAUUUGAACUGUGGUAGGUGAGUAAUGUCCCCUACUAGAAAGGAGAGGGCAAGGCUGGUGCCAGCCGCCGCGGUAAAACCAGCUCUUCAAGUGGUCGGGAUAAUUAUUGGGCUUAAAGUGUCCGUAGCCGGUUUAGUAAGUUCCUGGUAAAAUCGGGUAGCUUAACUAUCUGCAUGCUAGGAAUACUGCUAUACUAGAGGGCGGGAGAGGUCUGAGGUACUACAGGGGUAGGGGUGAAAUCUUAUAAUCCUUGUAGGACCACCAGUGGCGAAGGCGUCAGACUGGAACGCGCCUGACGGUGAGGGACGAAAGCCAGGGGAGCGAACCGGAUUAGAUACCCGGGUAGUCCUGGCCGUAAACGAUGCAUACUAGGUGAUGGUACGGCCAUGAGCCGUAUCAGUGCCGUAGGGAAACCGUUAAGUGUGCCGCCUGGGAAGUACGGUCGCAGGGCUAAAACUUAAAGGAAUUGGCGGGGGAGCACCACAAGGGGUGAAGCCUGCGGUUC
rnacentral:rRNA from 1 species